rnacentral:rRNA from 1 species
GAUGAACGCUGGCGGCGUGCCUAAUACAUGCGAGUCGAGCGAACGGACGAGAAGCUUGCUUCUCUGAUGUUAGCGGCGGACGGGUGAGUAACACGUGGAUAACCUACCUAUAAGACUGGGAUAACUUCGGGAAACCGGAGCUAAUACCGGAUGAUAUUUUGAACCGCAUGGUUCAAAAGUGAAAGACGGUCUUGCUGUCACUUAUAGAUGGAUCCGCGCUGCAUUAGCUAGUUGGUAAGGUAGCGGCUUACCAAGGCAACGAUGCAUAGCCGACCUGAGAGGGUGAUCGGCCACACUGGAACUGAGACACGGUCCAGACUCCUACGGGAGGCAGCAGUAGGGAAUCUUCCGCAAUGGGCGAAAGCCUGACGGAGCAACGCCGCGUGAGUGAUGAAGGUCUUCGGAUCGUAAAACUCUGUUAUUAGGGAAGAACAUAUGUGUAAGUAACUGUGCACAUCUUGACGGUACCUAAUCAGAAAGCCACGGCUAACUACGUG